UGGGGAAUAUUGGACAAUGGGCGAAAGCCUGAUCCAGCCAUGCCGCGUGUGUGAAGAAGGUCUUCGGAUUGUAAAGCACUUUAAGUUGGGAGGAAGGGCAUUAACCUAAUACGUUAGUGUUUUGACGUUACCGACAGAAUAAGCACCGGCUAACUCUGUGCCAGCAGCCGCGGUAAUACAGAGGGUGCAAGCGUUAAUCGGAAUUACUGGGCGUAAAGCGCGCGUAGGUGGUUUGUUAAGUUGGAUGUGAAAUCCCCGGGCUCAACCUGGGAACUGCAUUCAAAACUGACUGACUAGAGUAUGGUAGAGGGUGGUGGAAUUUCCUGUGUAGCGGUGAAAUG
rnacentral:rRNA from 1 species